CGGGUAACGGGGAAUCAGGGUUCGAUUCCGGAGAGGGAGCCUGAGAAAUGGCUACCACAUCCAAGGAUGGCAGCAGGCGCGCAAAUUACCCACUCCCAGCUUGGGGAGGUAGUGACGAAAAAUAACAAUGCGGGACUCUAAGAGGCCCCGUAAUUGGAAUGAGUACACCUUAAAUCGUUUAACGAGUAUCAAUUGGAGGGCAAGUCUGGUGCCAGCAGCCGCGGUAAUUCCAGCUCCAAUAGCGUAUAUUAAAGUUGCUGCAGUUAAAAAGCUCGUAGUUGGAUCUGGGGCUUGAGGUCGCUGUCUAUCGUUUCGGCGAUGACGGUGAUGCUCAGCUCUGCUUGCCGGUGACUGUUGCGGUGUUCUUCACUGAGCGCUGUAGCAGCACGGCACGUUUACUUUGAAAAAAAUUAGAGUGCUCAAAGCGUGCUUGUCGCUUGAAUAAUGUUGCAUGGAAUAAUGGAAUAGGACCUCGGUUCUAUUUUGUUGGUUUUCGGAGCUUGAGGUAAUGAUUAAGAGGGACGAACGGGGGCAUUCGUAUUGCGGUGUUAGAGGUGAAAUUCUUGGAUCGCCGCAAGACGGACUACUGCGAAAGCAUUUGCCAAGAACGCUUUCAUUAAUUAAGAACGAAAGUCAGAGGUUCGAAGACGAUCAGACACCGUCCUAGUUCUGACCAUAAACGAUGCCGACCAGCGAUCCGUAGUGGUUGCUUUAUGGACCCUACGGGCAGCCUCCGGGAAACCAAAGUAUUUGGGUUCCGGGGGAAGUAUGGUUGCAAAGCUGAAACUUAAAGGAAUUGACGGAAGGGCACACCAGGAGUGGAGCCUGCGGCUUAAUUUGACACAACACGGGAAAACUCACCCGGUCCGGACACCGUAAGGAUUGACAGACCGAUAGCUCUUUCUUGAUUCGGUGGAUGGUGGUGCAUGGCCGUUCUUAGUUGGUGGAGUGAUUUGUCUGGUUAAUUCCGAUAACGAACGAGACUCUAGCCUGCUAAGUAGUGUUGCUAUUGUUAUAUGGUUGACACUUCUUAGAGGGACAAGUGGCAUUUAGCCACGCGAAAUUGAGCAAUAACAGGUCUGUGAUGCCCUUAGAUGUCCGGGGCCGCAUGCGCGCUACACUGGAGAAGUCAGCGUGUGUUAUCCAGGUCCGAAAGGACUGGGUAAUCCGUUGAACCUUCUUCGUGCUUGGGACUGUGGCUUGGAACUAUUCCACAUGAACGAGGAAUUCCUAGUAAUUGCAAGUCAUAAGCUUGCGUUGAUUACGUCCCUGCCCUUUGUACACACCGCCCGUCGCUACUACCGAUUGAAUGGUUUAGCAAGGUCCUCGGAUCGUGGCCGUAGGGGCACGCAAGUGUUUCUGCGGUUUGCGAGAAGACGACCAAACUUGAUCAUUUAGAGGAAGUAAAAGUCGUAACAAGGUU
rnacentral:rRNA from 1 species